AAUAAUGUUGUGACAAGUGUUCGAACAAGUGAUGUCGACACUGAUGACUUCCCGAUUAAGAUAGGACUGCAUCAGGGGUCAGCUUUGAGCCCUUAUCUUUUUGCAUUGGUGAUGGAUGAGGUCACAAGGGGUAUACAAGGAGAUAUCCCAUGGUGUAUGCUCUUUGCGGAUGAUGUGAUGCUAGUUGACGAUAGUCGGACGGGGGUAAAUAGGAAGUUAGAGUUAUGGAGACAAACAUUGGAAUCGAAAGGGUUUAGGCUUAGUAGAACUAAAACCGAGUACAUGAUGUGCGGUUUCAGUACUACUAGCUGUGAGGAGGAGGAGGUUAGCCUUGAUGGCCAGGUGGUACCUCGGAAGGACACCUUUCGGUAUUUGGGGUCAAUGUUGCAGGAGGAUGGGGGUAUUGAUGAAGAUGUGAACCAUCGAAUCAAAGCCGGAUGGAUGAAGUGGCGCCAAGCUUCUGGCAUUCUCUAUGACAAGAGAGUGCCACAAAAGCUAAAAGGCAAGUUCUACAGGACGGCGGUUCGACCCGCAAUGUUGUAUGGUGCGGAGUGUUGGCCGACUAAAAGGCGACAUGUUCAACAGUUAGGUGUGGCGGAGAUGCGUAUGUUGAGAUGGAUGUGUGGCCACACGAGGAAGGAUCGAGUCCGGAAUGAUGGUAUACGAGAUAGAGUUGGGGUAGCACCAAUUGAGGAGAAGCUUGUCCAACAUCGUUUGAGAUGGUUUGGGCAUAUUCAGCGCAGGCCUCCAGAAGCUCCAGUGCAUAGCGGACGGCUA
rnacentral:rRNA from 1 species